AUGGGCGCAAGCCUGAUGCAGCCAUGCCGCGUGUGUGAAGAAGGCCUUCGGGUUGUAAAGCACUUUCAGUCGUGAGGAAGGUGGUAGUGUUAAUAGCACUAUCAUUUGACGUUAGCGACAGAAGAAGCACCGGCUAACUCCGUGCCAGCAGCCGCGGUAAUACGGAGGGUGCGAGCGUUAAUCGGAAUUACUGGGCGUAAAGCGCAUGCAGGUGGUUUGUUAAGUCAGAUGUGAAAGCCCGGGGCUCAACCUCGGAAUAGCAUUUGAAACUGGCAGACUAGAGUACUGUAGAGGGGGGUAGAAUUUCAGGUGUAGCGGUGAAAUGCGUAGAGAUCUGAAGGAAUACCGGUGGCGAAGGCGGCCCCCUGGACAGAUACUGACACUCAGAUGCGAAAGCGUGGGGAGCAAACAGGAUUAGAUACCCUGGUAGUCCACGCCGUAAACGAUGUCUACUUGGAGGUUGUGGCCUUGAGCCGUGGCUUUCGGAGCUAACGCGUUAAGUAGACCGCCUGG
rnacentral:rRNA from 1 species